rnacentral:rRNA from 1 species
GACGAACGCUGGCGGCGCGCUUAACACAUGCAAGUCGAGCGAGAACCCAGGCUUCGGCCUGGGGGAAAGCGGCGAACGGGUGAGUAACACGUGGGUAAUCUGCCCUCGGCAUCGGGAUAGCCCGGGGAAACCCGGAUUAAUACCGGAUGGCCCGACAGCUCUUCGGAGCGGUCGGAAAAGGUAGCUUCGGCCUCCGGCCGAGGAGGAGCCCGCGGCGGAUUAGCUUGUUGGUGAGGUAACGGCUCACCAAGGCUCCGAUCCGUAGCUGGUCUGAGGGGACGAUCAGCCACACUGGGACUGAGACACGGCCCAGACUCCUACGGGCGGCAGCAGUGGGGAAUCUUGCGCAAUGGGCGAAAGCCUGACGCAGCGACGCCGCGUGAGGGAAGAAGGCCUUCGGGUUGUAAACCUCUUUCAGGAGGGACGAAGCCACUCGGGUUAAUAGCCCAGAGGGUGACGGUACCCCCAGAAGAAGCCCCGGCUAACUACGUGCCAGCCGCCGCCGUAACAC